rnacentral:rRNA from 1 species
AUUGAACGCUGGCGGCAGGCUUAACACAUGCAAGUCGAGCGGAUGAAGGGAGCUUGCUCCUGGAUUCAGCGGCGGACGGGUGAGUAAUGCCUAGGAAUCUGCCUGGUAGUGGGGGAUAACGUCCGGAAACGGGUGCUAAUACCGCAUACGUCCUGAGGGAGCAUGUGGGGGAUCUUUGGACCUCACGCUAUCAGAUGAGCCUAGGUCGGUUUAGCUAGUUGGUGGGGUAAAGGCCUGCCAAGGCGACGAUCCGUAACUGGUCUGAGAGGAUGAUCAGUCACACUGGAACUGAGACACGGUCCAGACUCCUGCGGGAGGCAGCAGUGGGGAAUAUUGGACAAUGGGCGAAAGCCUGAUCCAGCCAUGCCGCGUGUGUGAAGAAGGUCUUCGGAUUGUAAAGCACUUUAAGUUGGGAGAAAGGGCAGUAAGUUAAUACCUUGCUGUUUUGACGUUACCAACAGAAUAAGCACCGGCUAACUUCGUG